rnacentral:rRNA from 1 species
GUGUCAGCAGCCGCGGUAAUACGUAUGGGGCAAGCGUUGUUCGGAUUCACUGGGCGUAAAGGGCGUGUAGGCGGUGAGGUAAGUUGGAUGUGAAAUCUCUGGGCUCAACCCGGAAAUUGCAUUCGAUACUGCCUCGCUAGAGUACCGGAGAGGGAGACGGAAUUCCUGGUGUAGGGGUGAAAUCUGUAGAUAUCAGGAGGAACACCAGUGGCGAAGGCGGUCUCCUGGCCGGAUACUGACGCUGAGGCGCGAAAGCUAGGGGAGCAAACAGGAUUAGAUACCCUGGUAGUCCUAGCUGUAAACGUUGUGCACUAGGUGUGAGUGGCUUGUCCACUCGUGCCGAAGCUAACGCAUUAAGUAUUCCACCUGGGGAGUACGAUCGCAAGGUUGAAACUCAAAUGAAUUGACGGGG